rnacentral:rRNA from 1 species
UACGUAGGGUGCAAGCGUUAAUCGGAAUUACUGGGCGUAAAGCGUGCGCAGGCGGCUUUGCAAGACAGAUGUGAAAUCCCCGGGCUCAACCUGGGAACUGCAUUUGUGACUGCAAGGCUAGAGUGCGGCAGAGGGGGAUGGAAUUCCGCGUGUAGCAGUGAAAUGCGUAGAUAUGCGGAGGAACACCGAUGGCGAAAGCAAUCCCCUGGGCCUGCACUGACGCUCAUGCACGAAAGCGUGGGGAGCAAACAGG